UGCUUCGAGCUCCCUCUGACCCGCGACGCGUCCCGACGACCCGAGAAGAAGACCCGGUCGGAACUCCUCCGUCCGGCCAUCUCCCGGCGGAGAACCACCAGCGUUCAAUUCCUCUUCUCAACGUCAACACGCCCAUGGUGGUGGAUUAUACAUGCACGGAUCGUGGGGAGAGAUUCGAAGCUUGGAAACUUGAAGCUUUUCCGGCGACUUCGGCAUCGUUUGGGUUUUCUGAGCUCUUCUGGGUUCGUUUUCCGUCUUGCCUGCACCUGUAGACGCGUCAACCUCGACUAUAGCUGGAUGUUCGAAGCUGCUGGGUUGGUGUACUCUGGCUCCUCCGUUUGUUCAUCGUCGAAAUUCCGGGAAGUACCGUGUCUUGAAAUUGAGCCUAGGUGAGCUACGUUAUCUAUCUUUAGCCUUGGAGAAUUUUGGUUGCUGUUGCCAGAUGGGUGUUGUUAUGCAUGGAGUUUUGGUUUGAAAGUAAAGAACAGGGAGAAGUUAUUGGAGAGUGAAAGUGCAAAGAUUAAGAAAAUGGUUAUUAAUCGGAAUUGAAGUAGUGAUUUCGUUUGCAA